rnacentral:rRNA from 1 species
ACGAACGCUGGCGGCAUGCCUAACACAUGCAAGUCGAACGAGACCUUCGGGUCUAGUGGCGCACGGGUGCGUAACGCGUGGGAACCUGCCCUUAGGUUCGGAAUAACUCCCCGAAAGGGGUGCUAAUACCGGAUAAUGUCUUCGGACCAAAGAUUUAUCGCCUUUGGAUGGGCCCGCGCUGGAUUAGCUAGUUGGUAGGGUAAAAGCCUACCAAGGCGACGAUCCAUAGCUGGUCUGAGAGGAUGAUCAGCCACACUGGGACUGAGACACGGCCCAGACUCCUACGGGAGGCAGCAGUGGGGAAUAUUGGACAAUGGGCGAAAGCCUGAUCCAGCAAUGCCGCGUGAGUGAUGAAGGCCUUAGGGUUGUAAAGCUCUUUUACCCGGGAUGAUAAUGACAGUACCGGGAGAAUAAGCUCCGGCUAACUCCGUG